CUUUGAUAAUGUGACUAUGUGAGGCGAGAUUAAAUUUAUUAGAAUUAUUUGUUUAAUCUUUUUGUGUUGCUACAGUAUUUGUAUAAUAAUAAUUACAAUUGCUUGUGUUGAUUAACAGUUAUAAUGUGAUAAUAUGAAUCGUUGAUACAAUCACAUACACUAUACAUCUAUUUUUUAAUAACUGCUUAUGUGCGUUUUGGCUAACGCAAUUUAACUCACAAAGAUAUUUCCGCAAAGUGUGAAUAAACAAUUUAUUAUCCAUACCAAAAAAGACAGAGAUCAUCUCAGCUACCUAUUGUGAUCUUAAAUCCCUAACUAAAAACUGAAAAAGGCACUCCACAUUCAGCAAUUAUAUUACAAAGGAACUUUUACAGAAAUUCAGGUCGGCUCCAUGAAAAAUGAGUUAGCUAAAGAGCCAUUCAGAUAAAGAAGUGAAAAAUGCCAAAAGCGUCUAAUGUUCUCAAAUCGAAUGGGUGUUUUUUCACUUAUGGGCUACAGCCUUAAAAACUACAUAAUAUUGUUAAUGUUUAAGUACAUGUAAUUUUAAACAAUGGAUUACAAUUUGAAGAGCAACAUUUAGGCAAUUUCUAAUCUCAUCAUCGUCGCCUGGGAUCUAUAUAAUGUGUUAGUCGCAACUAUAUUAUGCGUUCAAACAACCGAAAACUACUAAAUCGUGCAUGUUUAUGGCCAAUUGGACUAUCCUACUAUGUAUAAAUGAAAAUAAAACAAAGUACAUGAUGAUGCCAAGGAACAAUCAAAACACAAACAACUUUUUGGUUAGCAAAAUAAAAUUUGAAGUAAUGAUCACUUCUGACUACAAUCUACACAGAUAGAACUAAUUGAAGAUAGGUUGAACGCAUUAACAAUUAUGUCAAUUGAAAAUGACAUAAUAUGUAAAAAUAUCUCUCAUUUG